rnacentral:rRNA from 1 species
GACGAACGCUGGCGGCGUGCCUAACACAUGCAAGUCGAGCGGAGUCGAUCGACGGAAGCCUUCGGGCGGAAGAUGGUUGACUUAGCGGCGGAUGGGUGAGUAACGCGUGGGCAACCUGCCCCUCAGCCUGGGAUAACUGUCGGAAACGAUGGCUAAUACCGGAUGCGGUAUACGGAUCGCAUGAUGUGUAUACGAAAGUUCAGGCGCUGAGGGAUGGGCCCGCGUCCCAUUAGCUAGUUGGUGAGGUAACGGCCCACCAAGGCGACGAUGGGUAGCCGGCCUGAGAGGGUGACCGGCCACACUGGGACUGAGACACGGCCCAGACUCCUACGGGAGGCAGCAGUGGGGAAUAUUGCACAAUGGGCGCAAGCCUGAUGCAGCGACGCCGCGUGGGGAUGACGGCCUCGGUUGUAACCGUCUUCUAGCAGGGACGAAGGGUGACGUGACGGUACCUGUAGAAGAAGCACCGGCCAACUACGU